CUUUCCUUCGGGACAGAGGAGACAGGUGGUGCAUGGUUGUCGUCAGCUCGUGUCGUGAGAUGUUGGGUUAAGUCCCGCAACGAGCGCAACCCCUAUCUUUAGUAUCCAGCAUUUUGGGUGGGCCUCUGGAGAGACUGCCCGGGACAACCCGGAGGAAGGUGGGGAUGACCUCAAAUCAUCAUGCCCCUUAUGGCUUGGGCUACCCCCGUGCUACAAUGGGGUAAACAAAGGGAAGCGACCCCGCGAGGGGGAGCAAAUCCCAAAAAAAACGUCUCAGUUCGGAUUGUAGUCUGCAACUCCACUACAUGAAGCUGGAAUCGCUAGUAAUCCCAAAUCAAAAUGUCGCGGUGAAUACCUUCCCGGGUCUUGUACACCCCGAA
rnacentral:rRNA from 1 species